rnacentral:rRNA from 1 species
GGCUGUCGUCAGCUCGUGUCGUGAAAUGUUGGGUUAAGUCCCGCAACGAGCGCAACCCUUAUCCUUUGUUGCCAGCGGUUAGGGCGGGAACUCAAAGGAGACUGCCAGUGAUAAACUGGAGGAAGGUGGGGAUGACGUCAAGUCAUCAUGGCCCUUACGAGUAGGGCUACACACGUGCUACAAUGGCGCAUACAAAGGGAAGCGACCUCGCGAGAGCAAGCGGACCUCAUAAAGUCCGUCGUAGUCCGGAUUGCAGUCUGCAACUCGACUCCAUGAAGUCGGAAUCGCUAGUAAUCGUAUC